rnacentral:lncRNA from 1 species
GGUAAACUGUACAAGUUACUUUGGUACAUGCAUGAGCAUGAAGGUUAUAAUUUCAAAUGGUUUAACUAUGUAAAAUCUGUGUUUAAUGACUGUGGCUUUUGUGAAAUAUAUAAUGUUCCGGAGCAAGUUGAUUAUAAUUAUAUUAAAACUAAUGUGAGGCAGCGUCUCCAGGACCAGUUUAUUCAAAAAUGGUUCUCUGAUAUAAAUAACUCAUCAAGGGGGGAAUUUUAUUUACACUUUAAAGAAGAGUUUUGCUUAGAACCAUAUCUGUUAAAAUUAAGGCGGGGUCAUAGAGUAAAUAUAUGUAAAUUAAGGGUAUGUAAUACAAAGUUUCCCAUUGAAACAGGAAGAUGGAGAAAUGUACCACGAAAUGAGAGAAUUUGUCCUCUUUGUAAAGCUGGUCUUGGGGAUGUGUACCACUAUAUAUGUAUAUGUACCAAUUAUAAAGUUAAAGAUUUAAGGGGGAAGUUCAUACCUCCUUAUUAUUUAAAAUAUCCAAAUGUUAAAAAAGUACUGGGCAUGCUUAAAUAUUGUAAUAAUAAUGUGCUGU